rnacentral:rRNA from 1 species
UUGAACGCUGGCGGCAGGCCUAACACAUGCAAGUCGAGCGGAUGAAGGGAGCUUGCUCCUGGAUUCAGCGGCGGACGGGUGAGUAAUGCCUAGGAAUCUGCCUGGUAGUGGGGGAUAACGUCCGGAAACGGGCGCUAAUACCGCAUACGUCCUGAGGGAGAAAGUGGGGGAUCUUCGGACCUCACGCUAUCAGAUGAGCCUAGGUCGGAUUAGCUAGUUGGUGGGGUAAAGGCCUACCAAGGCGACGAUCCGUAACUGGUCUGAGAGGAUGAUCAGUCACACUGGAACUGAGACACGGUCCAGACUCCUACGGGAGGCAGCAGUGGGGAAUAUUGGACAAUGGGCGAAAGCCUGAUCCAGCCAUGCCGCGUGUGUGAAGAAGGUCUUCGGAUUGUAAAGCACUUUAAGUUGGGAGGAAGGGCAGUAAGUUAAUACCUUGCUGUUUUGACGUUACCAACAGAAUAAGCACCGCCUAACUUCGUG